UACAGAGGGCUCAAGCGUUGUUCGGAUUCAUUGGGCGUAAAGGGUGCGUAGGCGGCGUGGUAAGUCGGGUGUGAAAUCUCGGAGCUUAACUCCGAAACUGCAUUCGAUACUGCCGUGCUUGAGGACUGGAGAGGAGACUGGAAUUUACGGUGUAGCGGUGAAAUGCGUAGAUAUCGUAAGGAAGACCAGUGGCGAAGGCGGGUCUCUGGACAGUUCCUGACGCUGAGGCACGAAGGCCAGGGGAGCAAACGGG
rnacentral:rRNA from 1 species